AUUUGUACACAUUGAAAAACUCUUACAUUGUGUUUUGGGUUCUGGUUGGGGAUUUUAUCUUCUAACAUAGGAUGGUAAUUAGGAUGUGUGGGGUAGCUCCAAAAACCCUAGAUGACGAAGAUGAUGAGGAUGCUGGUGAUCUUGAUUACGAUUCUCAACCAGUAAUCGCAUCCAUGAUUUACCAGAAUUUAGGAUCAAGGAGAUUGCAAGCAAUCUCAGAGAGGAGGAAAUCUACGCAAUGCUCAUGGACGUAGCAUGCUUUUCAAGAAAUGUUCAAGAGGAGAAUGGCUGGACUCCAACUUGAGGGCAAGGCCACGCCAUGUAGCUACUGCCAGUGUUUCCUGUGUAACACUGUAGUCCAAGGCCGAACCCCUCCAGUUUAGCUACUGCCAGUGUUUCCUGUGCGAAGUCAUGGCUACUCAAAUGACAGCACAAAACCCUUAUCCUCCUCGAACAAACCUCACCCAACUACCCUCUGCAUCUGCCAGCAAAUCGAGCCCAGACCCUGCGUCGGGCUUCACCCAUAGCCAAACUCCGCCAUUUUUGUAUAAUCCCAACCUGCAGGUUGCUGGUCCUUCUUCUCCUAAUAGCUAUCAAAAUCCAUGGCUCCUAGCUGCUAAUUAACACACCUGGUGCCAAAGAUGUUCUACUGAUAUGGGUAGCGACUUUGAAGACGGUACGUAGUAGGGAUGGUGAGGACUCCGAUUUCAGUUUCGGUCAACAAUAAAGACGAGAUGAAGGACAUCACCUACGGUUAUGGCGAUGCGGGUUAGGCGAUUCUGCCAUGGCAGCUGCCCCUUUGUAAUUUUGGAAUAAAAUGACAUCUAGUUAUACGGUCGAAUGAUAUUUAUUUUCAUUUGUAAGUGAGAGGUCUUAGAUUCGAAUUUCGGGGAUGACAAGUUGAAACAAAUUUAUUCUUCCAUCUCUACUUGAUGUAAUAUAUCAUUGUUAUAAAUACAUAAAAGUUUAAACUU